CCUAGAUGAAUUAAAGACUAUGGUGUAGUUUUCAUUGCCUAGCUUAAUUCUAAUGUCUCUGUUGUCCCUAUAAUUAAUUUUGAUGAUUCUAAAAUAUUAAGUAUAAUUGAUACUAAUCAUAUAUUUCAAAAAUGAAUGUAAAAAUUUUUAAAUGCUUAAAUUAAAAAAUUCAUUCAUAAAAAAGAUCCCCUCAAAGAUGCCACGCUAAAGCACUUCAAAAAAUGAAAUUUCAUAAAUUUAGCUCAGAGGAGUCGACCCCAAGACAAGAGGAGUCGACUCUGGCAUGUUAAAAUAGGACUAGCACAGGCUCGAGUCGACUUAUGAAUAAUUCGAGUCGACUCUCUCAACAAAGAUAGAAGACCGCAUUUUUAGAACUACAGCUAGAGUCGACCCCAAGACAAUUGGAGUCAACUCCUGAAAAAUUGGAGUCGACCCAUGGCCUAGAAUAGCACUAAUGGUUCAUUUUCUGUACUACUUCUAACAGUUAUUUCAAUCUUUCCAAUGGUCAAAACUCCUCUAGCUAAUUUCAAAUAUAUUAAAGGCUAGAGAAUCAAUUGGGAAGGUAAUCAAAAGGAUUGAAAAGAAAAAUUCAUCAAAAUAAGUGAGGGUCAUUGAAUAUCUUUGGAAAAGAAGAAAAGAGAGAAAUUUGAGCACAUAAUUUAGAGGACUUUUAAGAGUAAUCUUUCACAACAUUUCUAACAUUUUCUCCAGCUUUAAAGAAGAGUGAUCAAGCUUCAAAAGAGCAACAUUUCAAUCUCUUCUUCAUGCAUAAAAGAAUUCCAUCUUUUCUAUUUUAUUUUAAACUGAAAAUUAUCUCUUGUAUUUUAUUUUCUUUUCAAAUUUUUUUAGGAAAAAAAAUUUGGGGAUAGACCCAUCCAAGUUCGAAAUUAGACAAGUAUAAGAUUUUGGUUGGUUGACCCAUAAAAUCAAAUGGAUUGAUUAUCAGGCCAAAAAAUAAUCGGUAUAAGAUUUUAGUUGGUGAUCCUAAAAAAUCAACUAGGUUUGUUUAUGAGUUCAAGUAAAACAAAUACAUUAUAAUCAAGAAGAUUAUAGUGAAAUUCUUAAAGACUUCAUGGGGAGUAGAUGUAGGUGCGGAGUUGCAUCAAACCACUAUAAAUUUUUUAUCUUUAUGGUGUGAUUAUUUUAUUGCUUUACUUAUUUGCUUUAUAUUCUUGUAUUGUAUCAUUGCUUUGAAUUCCACUGCUACAUAUAAUAUACACUUCACCAUCAAUAUUUAUUUAGGUUUAAAUUAAAAUAUAUAUUUGUUCAAACUCAUAUUUAGUUUUAAUUUUUCAAAGAAUCCAAUUCACCCCCCCCUCGCCCCUCUUGGGUUGCUAUAUUUCUGGAUAAUAAGUGGUAUCAGAGCAGGUGCUCCAAUAUUGUUUGUUGACCUAGCGAUCUUGAACUAAAGAUCAUGGAAAUCCAAAUUAAAUUUUUUUUAAUAAAAGCCAUUCUAUAGAUCGACCUUUAAUUUUUAAUGCAUUAAAUUAUACCUAUUGGAAAGCUAAGAUGAAAAUAUUCAUACAAGUACAUAACUAUAACUUAUGAAGAAUUAUAGUCGAUGGCCCACACAUACCCAAUGGAUUAAUUAAGUUUAAUAAAGAAAUGACCCAACUAAAUGUGAUAAAUGCAUUAAUUAGGAUAUAGAAGCAUUAAAUUCCUUAGUAAUUGAUCCAUAUUAUGUUGAAUUUGAUACUUCUUGUCCUCUUUUAUAGAAAAUUGAUGAAGAUCCAAAUUGAUCCAGAUCCAAAAUAAAAAUCAAGCACUAAUGGGCUAAUGGGCUGACAAAAGUUUAUAGAUGCAAUGAGAUCCAUGGCAUGCAAAUGGGCUAGCAGGCUUUUGCAGGUGUUAGGCUUUUGGAAGACAUGCGAGCGCACAUGAGGAGGCAUCAAGCAGCAUGGCACGGUUCACAUGGGAGCGCACUAUGUAUGUGCGACUGGAAUGAAAUGCGGAUGUAGGUGUGUGAUGGCUAGCGGACCAGAACAAGUGGGUGCGGCUUGAAGCUGGACUUCAAUGAGUGGAAAUCAAAGAAUUAAAUGGGAGGGCCCAGAGUGCAUUUAAUGCAUAAGGAAGAGUAAAUAGGGUGCUAGGUGCUAGCAUGGGCGUGUGUAUUGUUGGAGCACGAUCCCGGCUCCUCCCAUGGACCUUGGGUGCAGCAGAACUAGCAACGAACAAAUCUGGAGACUUUUGGACUCGAUUAAAGGCCCUUGACAAAAUCAGCCUGGUUGCUGUCUUCUUCGUCAGCCUUUCGUUCCAGAUGAAGAACGCCUCUAAGAUCACCUCUAAAAAAUUCAAGAUCUGAUACCCAACCAGAUCAGACCUGGACUGAGGUCUUUCAAUUCAUAGAUCUCAAAUCAGGAUGUUUUAGAUAGGGAAGAAGGUAGAUAGAGACAGACCUUGCAGAUCUGUCCUGCUGCAGCUUUUCCUGUAGAUCUGUUGAUGGAGAUCUCACCCGCGCCUCAAACGACCUCAG
rnacentral:lncRNA from 1 species